rnacentral:lncRNA from 1 species
CCCUGACAGCUGCUCAAAGCUUCUGCUGAAUUCUGCUCCGCUCUGUAGCAGAGCAGGCAGGUGUGAAGUCACUCACACUUUAACAGAACCUGUUUCCCACUGGGCUGGGAUGGAGAGGUGUCCGUAAAACCAGCACAAGUUCUGCCUGGCCAUCUCCAGCAGCACAGCUGCAAACAGGACAAGCAUUGCCACCCCUCUUUUCCCCUGCCAGGGUUAAAGUGCUCCAUCUUCCCUGCUGCUGGGAAGGUGGAGCAGGAGCAGAGGCAGGUACUGGGAUCAGCAAUUCCUUCCCCAGUCACUGACAUGCACCAGGACAGCUAAAGGGACAUGAGGGCACAGCACAGGACCCACAGCCCUACCCAAACACUUUGUCGAAGCUUGGAUUACACUUAGCCGUCACUAAAUACCCACGUGGAGCUACAUCAAAUGGAAAACGUCUCUCAAAAGUGUUUUUUUUAAGUGGGCUUCAGUAUUUGGCUUGAGGGAAGUGUCUCUUGAGGGUGUUUACACAAGGCCAGAUGCUGUCACAGAGCCCUUUGCCUCUCGGUGCAAAAGUCACCAAGGUUAGGCCUUGAGGAAGUGCAAUGGCAAAGAGGAAAGCUUGAGAACUGUGACUCAUCAACAUCAAAGUGGCUCUUUAAAGAAGAGCCUGCAGACCAUAAUUAAUGGACUGGAAAUUAUUUUGAAACAACACUAGAUGAAGCAGAGUGGUUUGAGCUGUAUUUUACGUGAUCGCAUGGUGGGUAACUCGAGUGUGCCCACAAAGGUCAGCAAAAACAUUUCCACUGACCUGCAAGAGGCAGAGCCAGAUGGCAAAGAGAGCAAGGGCCCAAAAGAGGUGCAAAGUGGAAAAAAAAUUCAUGCACGUGUUUUUUAACUUCCCAGCCACAGUGGCUCAUAAUCCGUGUUCAUCAUGGGUGUUUAAUCUGCAGAAAUGCCAGGCCCUGAGGAGGUGAGCUGAGCCCUCAUGGGAACUACUGAGGUGUUCCUGACACCCUCAGUUGAAAAUGUUGGUCUUAAUCAUUUAAAUACAUGUAGAAACAACCUUCAUCAGGGUGAAUGUCUGCUCAUCUGUAUACAGGGCAUUUGGGCAAAGUGUGGAAGGAGAUCAUGUAACAGGAAGAAUGAAACUAUGUGGAUUUUGCCUCAGAAAAAUUCAUUACUAGCACUGUUUACCAAUGAACUUUAUUAUUGA